UAGGGAAUCUUCGGCAAUGGGGGCAACCCUGACCGAGCAACGCCGCGUGAGUGAAGAAGGUUUUCGGAUCGUAAAGCUCUGUUGUAAGAGAAGAACGUGUGUGAGAGUGGAAAGUUCACACAGUGACGGUAACUUACCAGAAAGGGACGGCUAACUACGUGCCAGCAGCCGCGGUAAUACGUAGGUCCCGAGCGUUGUCCGGAUUUAUUGGGCGUAAAGCGAGCGCAGGCGGUUUAAUAAGUCUGAAGUUAAAGGCAGUGGCUUAACCAUUGUUCGCUUUGGAAACUGUUAAACUUGAGUGCAGAAGGGGAGAGUGGAAUUCCAUGUGUAGCGGUGAAAUGCGUAGAUAUAUGGAGGAACACCGGUGCCGAAAGCGGCUCUCUGGUCUGUAACUGACGCUGAGGCUCGAAAGCGUGGGGAGCAAACAGG
rnacentral:rRNA from 1 species